rnacentral:lncRNA from 1 species
GGUAUUUAAUUGUUCCCUGAGGUUUAAGGCAGUGGACUGAGGAUAAUACAGGCUCCAGCUUUCAUUAGUUCAAUGGAUGAUGCUGUUCAAUCCAUACUGUUUGGGGCAUUUGUUGAAAAUGUCAUUCAGAAGAUAUCAACACUUUCUGAGUCAUGGUUUGAUUGAAUUUAUAGAAUUAUGUGAUAGAAACCACAUUCUUCACAAAAGUCACAAGGCAAUAAUGACGACAAGGGUUGAAGAUGAAAGAUGCCAAAUAUUCUGAUCAAUUCAAUAAGGCAAAAAGACAAGUUAAUUCACUCAGUGCUCCAGGCAUCAACUUCAUAGAAGGAAUGGAAAUUCUACCUGUUUCCUAAAGAACUACAGAGGUGUACACCAAACGGAGGGCAAAUGCUGUUACCACUCAUCGUGCAAGACUUUUGAGGCAAUUUGGACAUAGACAAGUGAUGGGAAAAUUGAAUCAUUAUAUGGCUCAUGACAGUGUUGAAAACUCAAACAUCCAAGGACCUGUACCUUUGCUAAGUGCCAUGCAUAUGUUGCUGAUAAAGAUGCA